CGGUGUGAUCAUUCCAACAUUAAAGCACUAGAUCCCAUCAGAACUCUGCAGUUAAGCGCGCUUGGGCUAGAGUAGUACAUGGGAUGGGUGACCUCCCGGGAAGUCCUAGUGUUGCACCCU
rnacentral:rRNA from 1 species